UGGCUAACUCCGUGCCAGCAGCCGCGGUAAUACGGAGAGGGCUAGCGUUAUUCGGAAUUAUUGGGCGUAAAGGGCGCGUAGGCGGGUUAAUAAGUUAAAAGUGAAAUCCCAAGGCUCAACCUUGGAAUUGCUUUUAAAACUGCUAAUCUAGAGAUUGAAAGAGGAUAGAGGAAUUCCUAGUGUAGAGGUGAAAUUCGUAAAUAUUAGGAGGAACACCAGUGGCGAAGGCGUCUAUCUGGUUCAAAUCUGACGCU
rnacentral:rRNA from 1 species